AUAACAGUUGGAAACGACUGCUAAUACCGCAUAAGCGCACGGUACCGCAUGGUACCGUGUGAAAAACUCCGGUGGUAUGAGAUGGACCCGCGUCUGAUUAGCUAGUUGGUGGGGUAACAGCCUACCAAGGCGACGAUCAGUAGCCGACCUGAGAGGGUGACCGGCCACAUUGGGACUGAGACACGGCCCAAACUCCUACGGGAGGCAGCAGUGGGGAAUAUUGCACAAUGGGGGAAACCCUGAUGCAGCGACGCCGCGUGAGCGAAGAAGUAUUUCGGUAUGUAAAGUUCUAUCAGCAGGGAAGAAAAAUGACGGUACCUGACUAAGGAGCACCGGCUAAAUACGUGCCAGCAGCCGCGGUAAUACGUAUGGUGCAAGCGUUAUCCGGAUUUACUGGGUGUAAAGGGAGCGCAGGCGGUGCGGCAAGUCUGAUGUGAAAGCCCGGGGCUCAACCCCGGUACUGCAUUGGAAACUGUCGUACUAGAGUGUCGGAGGGGUAAGUGGAAUUCCUAGUGUAGCGGUGAAAUGCGUAGAUAUUAGGAGGAACACCAGUGGCGAAGGCGGCUUACUGGACGAUAACUGACGCUGAGGCUCGAAAGCGUGGGGAGCAAACAGGAUUAGAUACCCUGGUAGUCCACGCUGU
rnacentral:rRNA from 1 species